AAUUUAGUUUUGGUAUAGUAAGCUAUAUUCUUUUUUUUUUAAAUAGUGAGUUAUAUUCAUUUUCAACACUUUGUAAAAGUUACAUGCUAAAAACUAGUCGCCAUAAAAUGCGAUACAAUGUGUCAAAUGGAAAUGAAUUUUAAAGAAUAUCUAUGUAAAAUUCUACUUUUAUGUGUAAGAUGUUUUUACCCCAUUAGAAAUUAGGUAAGUGCAGCAUUGUUUGUUAUGAAGGUUGGAAGUUUGAGAGAUUUAGUCGCCAUAAUGCGAUACAAUGUAUCAGAUGGAGAUGAAUUUUAAAAUAUAUCUAUGUAAAAUUCCACUUUUAUGUGCGAGAUAUUUUUAACUAUUAGAAAUCAGGUAAGUGCAGCAUUGUUUGUUAUGAAAGUUGGAAGUUUGAGAGAUUUAGUCGUCAUAAUGCGAUACAAUGUAUCAUAUGGAGAUGCAUUUUAAAGGAUAUUUCUGUAAAAUUCUACUUUUAUGUGCGAAAUAUUUUUACUCCAUUCGAAUUUGGGUAAAUGAAGCCUUGUUUGCUAUGAAAGUUGGAAGUUUGAGAGAUUUCCACUUCGGUUUAAUGAAAAGUUUCUUAGAUAUAUUAAAUAUAUUAGUAGGUCUCCAGUGUAGAUCCUCGUAUCUUCUUAUGGUUAGCAAACAUAUCAAAUUAAUGGUGCAUGAUAUUCCUAAUAGUGUCACUAAAACAUGAACAAUUUUAUCUAGUGUCGUACUCGAAAGACUGGUAUAUAUCACAAUCACAUGCAUGAGAAAACGAGAGUUUGAUAUAUCUUUGCUUAUUAUCAUUGUCGUUUUAUUUUUGCUAACUCUACAUUAUUCCUUCGACUUUGAGUUUUUCUCUUAAUAUAUCAUCUAAAAAGGUAAUAUUAUAUUAUUAAUAGUUAAUUCUCCUCUUAUACUCCUUCUCAUUAUCAUCCUCAUUCACAUCCAUAUUUAUGACGACAAAAUUAGUUAGUAGAUGCAUGAAUUCAGAUGAGUCUCGAACAAAGACUUUUUGGUGUACCAUCUACACCCACAUAGAUAUGCAAAGUCGCGAAGAUACAUAAAUAUAUCCAUUAUCACCCAGAUGAUCGUCAUGGCUAUCUUUGCAUUCAGCCACGAGUUUGUCAUCCAUUAUGUCAAUAUAUCCAUAAUCAUAAAGUGAUCUCCUAAGAACCAUCAUUUACUAAUUCGGCAGAACCAUAAUAAAUAACCUUUCUUUAUUCACCAUUUUUGUUAUGAAGUAUGUCGGCUCCUAUCGGAAAAAUUAAUCACACAUUUAUAGAAAUAGCAAUAAUAUAUAUAUAUAUAUAUAUAAUGUAUGUACUGUAUUAAUCUUUGUUUGUUCAACAAUCAAAAUUAUUUCAAACCAAACAUAUUAUUUCACAAAAUAUGCACAACAAAUUUGUCAACUUAUUUCUAUCACAAUACUUUGGUUUUUCCUUUCAACAUGAUUUUGGUAGUACGAAUGUUUAGGUUGAAUGCAAA
rnacentral:sRNA from 1 species